GGAGUUGUAGCUCAGUGGUAGAAGUGCUUGCCUCGUAUGCAUGAGACCUUGGGUUUGAUCCUCAGCACCA
rnacentral:tRNA from 1 species